GACAGAGGGUGCAAACGUUGUUCGGAUUUACUGGGCGUAAAGCGCGUGUAGGCGGCUUUGCAAGUCGGAUGUGAAAGCCCACGGCUCAACCGUGGAAGUGCAUCCGAAACUGCAUGGGCUUGAGUCUCGGAGAGGAAGGUGGAAUGCUUGGUGUAGAGGUGAAAUUCGUAGAUAUCAAGCAGAACACCUGCGGCGAAGGCGGCCUUCUGGACGAUGACUGACGCUGAGACGCGAAAGCGUGGGGAGCAAACAGG
rnacentral:rRNA from 1 species